UACGGGGGGGGGCAAGCGUUGUUCGGAAUUACUGGGCGUAAAGGGCUCGUAGGCGGCCAACUAAGUCGGACGUGAAAGCCCUCGGCUUAACCGAGGAACUGCGUCCGAUACUGGAUGGCUUGAGGUUGGGAGAGGGAUGCGGAAUUCCAGGUGUAGCGGUGAAAUGCGUAGAUAUCUGGAGGAACACCGGUGGCGAAGGCGGCAUCCUGGACCAAUUCUGACGCUGAGUGAGCGAAAGCCAGGGGAGCAAACGGG
rnacentral:rRNA from 1 species